AUCGAUAAAUAAGCUUCUAGAUUUUUUUUUUUUAAAAAAAAAAACCUGAAUUAAUUAUCAGAUUCACAGAUCUGUAAAUUAAAUUAAAAAAUUAUGGUAUCUUUUCUUCACCAGCAUGACCAUGUGCCUAUCUAUAAUUGUAUUCUGAAAAAAAGAUACAAGGCUAGAUUUUCUUCUAUAAUGUAGGCUACUCUCCCUUCUCUAUGUGCUAUAAAUCUGACACAGGUCUAGGGUGAAGGAAGGCACUUUCACACAUAUAGGUUGUAGGGGAUUCUGGGAAGCAAGACAGGAUGCAACCUCUCAUUUUGGUUCCAUGCUUUAAGUAGGGAAAGACCAUGUGCUUUGGUACCCCCUGAUGAUAAUCUAGGGCUACGUAGAAGUUUCAUCAUAUAAACGUUUUUGCUAAAACAUUUAGUGGGGACGGGGGCCCCACAGACAGUCCCAUUCUGUAAGGAAGCC
rnacentral:lncRNA from 1 species